GAGGUGGGAGGAGCACCUGAGUCUGGGAGGUUGAGGCUGCAGUGAGCUGAGAUCGUGCCACUGCACUCCAGCCUGAGUGACAGAGUAAGACUCUGUCUCA
ensembl:miRNA